UCAUUGCUAUUGGGGUCCGAUUUAGCCAUGCUAGUUGCACGAGUUCAUACUCGUGGCGAAAAGCUCAGUAACACGUGGCCAAACUACCCUACAGAGAACGAUAACCUCGGGAAACUGAGGCUAAUAGUUCAUACGGGAGUCAUGCUGGAAUGCCGACUCCCCGAAACGCUCAGGCGCUGUAGGAUGUGGCUGCGGCCGAUUAGGUAGACGGUGGGGUAACGGCCCACCGUGCCGAUAAUCGGUACGGGUUGUGAGAGCAAGAGCCCGGAGACGGAAUCUGAGACAAGAUUCCGGGCCCUACGGGGCGCAGCAGGCGCGAAACCUUUACACUGCACGCAAGUGCGAUAAGGGGACCCCAAGUGCGAGGGCAUAUAGUCCUCGCUUUUCACGACUGUAAGGCGGUCGAGGAAUAAGAGCUGGGCAAGACCGGUGCCAGCCGCCGCGGUAAUACCGGCAGCUCAAGUGAUGACCGAUAUUAUUGGGCCUAAAGCGUCCGUAGCCGGCCACGAAGGUUCAUCGGGAAAUCCGCCAGCUCAACUGGCGGGCGUCCGGUGAAAACCACGUGGCUUGGGACCGGAAGGCUCGAGGGGUACGUCCGGGGUAGGAGUGAAAUCCCGUAAUCCUGGACGGACCACCGAUGGCGAAAGCACCUCGAGAAGACGGAUCCGACGGUGAGGGACGAAAGCUAGGGUCUCGAACCGGAUUAGAUACCCGGGUAGUCCUAGCUGUAAACGAUGCUCGCUAGGUGUGACACAGGCUACGAGCCUGUGCUGUGCCGUAGGGAAGCCGAGAGCGAGCCGCCUGGGAAGUACGUCCGCAAGGAUGAAACUUAAAGGAAUUGCCGAGG
rnacentral:rRNA from 1 species